CUUGUAUCUGUAGUCACUGCACUGAGUCACUAAUAUAUGCAAGAAAGAAUGGAUAAAUUGCUGGGUUUAUUACACGAAAAAAUACUUGCUGUAGAUAAGUAUGAAGAUGUAUUUAAUGAAUUCAAAACUUUACACGCAGAUGAGGAACGUGUAAGGUUUUUUCUUAAGCUUAUGCUAGAAUAUGGUAUGAUUUCUCAAGUAUGUCCAGAUAGAAAAAAUGCAAAGAAAUCUACAGAAUUAAAAAAACAAGGAAAUGAAAAAUAUAUGUCAAAAUCAUUAACAAGCUCUCUGUGUAUCGAUGCACUAAAACUGUAUACAAAAAGUAUAGCAUAUGCUCCUUGUACAUCUGAACAACUUGCUUUGGCGUAUGCGAAUAGAUCUGCUGUUCUAAAAAAAAUACACAAAUACAAAGAAUGUAUUCAAGACAUAGAUAGAGCCUUAGCCUUACCAUAUCCAAAUAAUUCAAGAAGUAUAUUAUAUUUAAGAAAAAUUGAGUGUUUAAGUAUAUUAAAAUAUCCCAACACAGAAGAUACUAUUAAGGAAGCGCAAAAUUGGCUAGACAGGCUGUCCUUGGAUGAUGUCGGUCAUAAAAAAAUGAAUAAUAUGUUCAUUUCUGCCAAAAAAAUAUCUGUAUCAAAUAUAUCAAAAAAACAAAGUAUCGUAAAACAAUCACCUUUGCCUGAAUUAAAGAUAUGCAACACUGAAGUUCCUUGUGCCUCCAAUGCGAUAACUAUAAAAUAUAAUGAAAAAUAUGGCAGACACAUUGUAGCUACUCGUGACAUAAAUAUUGGUGAAAUAAUUGCUAUAGAAAAGCCUUAUUCGCUAAUAUUAAGUCAUAACAAUUUACAGACGCAUUGUUCAAAUUGCUUGGAAGUAUGCUGGGCUAAUAUACCUUGUAACUAUUGUACAUAUGCUAUGUAUUGUUCAGAAGAAUGUAAAGCUUCGGACUGGAAAAAAUAUCAUGACAUAGAAUGUAAGGUAUUUCCUUACUUUUUUAAAAUGAAUUUUAUGGAACGUCAUCAGUUUUGCGUAAGACUUGCUAUUCAGGCAGUAAGAGAGAGUAAUAAUAUACAGAACUUAAGAGAAGAACUAAAAGAAGUUGAAAAUUGUGAUAAUCCCCGUACAAAGGGUUUUUCAAAGAAUGGAACAUUUGAAAGUGAUGCUUACAGAAGUGUAUUAAGUUUGGUUACUAACGUUGAAAAACUGUCAUUAGAAGAUCUCUUUACAAGAUCCGCAGAAGCUAGUUUCAUAUUGUAUUACUUAGCAACAUGUACUGAUAUAUUUGGCAGUUCACUGAAAGAUUUAUUUGAAUUAAUAAAAAACAAUGAUGCUAUCUUUGUUGGGGGGCUCAUUCUAAGGCAUCUGCAAUUGAUCCCUCUUAAUACUCAUUCGUUUACGGAAGAAUAUAAAAUCGCUUCGGAAGACCGUGGUGCAGCACUUAUGCCAUUUCUUAGUCUGUUUAAUCACAGUUGUAACCCAAACAUUCUAAGAGUUUCAAGGACUGCGCAUAUAAUUGCUUAUGCAAUGUAUCCUAUCAAAAAGGAUGAACAGAUAUUUGAUCACUACGGUCCAUUAUAUUCAAUGGUACCAAAAUUCACGAGGCGCUUGGAACUUCGAAUACGCUACUUCUUCACUUGCGAUUGUGUAGCUUGUGUGGAGGACUGGCCAGUAUUUCAUGAAUUAAUGUUAUCUAAGGAAUCCAGUUUAGGAAUAGCCCUUCGCACGUUGCCAAAUUAUCCUAAAUAUCGCCGUAUGGCGGAAGAAGGAAAUGUAUUUAACAAAGAUAUGAUAGAUGACUUGUUACAAAUGUUUCAACGAGUAUAUAACGCGGUACGAAUGCCUCACUGCACAGUAACCGAGAUAUCAGCAAUUCUUAAACGUGUCUAUUGCUUAAGUGGAAACAGAUUUGAUAUUCCUGAACUAUAAUAUGCAUCAAACGCGCCCACUAGUGACAAAGAAUUUGAAUUUAGACAGAAACUUGAUUACACGUUUCUCUUUUACAAUUAUUAAUUUACACAAAUUCAAGACACUGAUUCAAGUAGCCAGUGAUAAAGUGGAACGUCAUGGCUGAUUUGGCGCCAUUAUCAACCGUUCGACCUAGAGACCUAGAACGAAGUAAAAUCGCCUCAGACCUUUAUUUAAAACCUAAUGCAAAUAUAUAAAGUAACUAUAAUUCAAAUUAUGUCGUGUUUCAUCUUGUUUUAAUCGAAAAAUUUCAUCAAUACGCUAGUGGAAGUUUCAUUUAAAAGAAAAAUCUGUC